rfam:Stegodyphus mimosarum contig67870, whole genome shotgun sequence.
GUCUUCUUGGUGUAGUGGUCAGUACACUCGGCACGUACUCGAGAGGUCCGUGGUUCGAAUCCCGGCGAGGGCA